AGGACACAUUUUACUCAGAUUUUCAGAGAGAAAUACACGACAACCAGCAGGUACAACAUUUGCUGGCUUCGUUCUUCACUAAGGACCUCCUGUAAGGGUGGAA